GCCAAUGGAGCGGGACACGGAUGUCAGCUGGGAGCACACAACAACACCGCGGAUGUAACGGGAAACACUGCACACCUACUUAAGCUGAUAAAACAACAAGAGGACGGAUGUAACGGGAAUCUCUGGGCAGCUGCGCUGAUAAAACGGGACACGACGAGAGGAGGCAGCCAAGCGUGAACCACCUGUGCGCACGGAGAUGGUGGUGAGCUUUGCGCAGACAGCAAGCCGUUAGCAGAUAGUCUAGUGGUAUGAUCAUUGAAAUCUGCACAUGUGUUGAUGGACAGAAGGCUCCUGGACACUGCACAAUCAUUUGGAACGAUCUGAUCGCUCCCCGGACUCAGCAAAACGCGCGUCUGUGACAGCAGCUUUGCGCAGGAGUUCACGUGACCAAAACAUAGCAGAGACACGCGGUAAAAACGUCACCACUGCAUGACUGUCACACCUGAGUAGGAGAUCAGAAGCAUCCUUUAAGGAUUAGACACCGUGAAACAUGGAUGCACCUGCUGGAAGACUAGCUCUGCACCAGUUAACCCAUUAAACCUUCAUGCUAAUCGUGCAGCAUCUCAGUAACACACUUUGGAUGACUUCACCUCCUCCAGCCAGCCAAACCUAAUGGGAAGGAUCAUCUUGGCGUGCAGAGGUCAGCUAGACUGCCCUAGAGGUGUGCCACAGAUGACACUUGUCACGAUUUGAGGAGGAUGGUUUGGACCCAAGACGCAGAACCCAGGAUGUCAAAAGGCAGAAGGUGGUUCAAAGUAAAAUCCUUUUAGUUUAGGACAAAGAAAAAAAGUAAUCCGAGGCAGCGAGCCAAAGUCCAAAACGUCCUGGAGAACAGGAACACCCAAAGCUCUUCUUAGAGCACAAAAACCUGGAGACAAAGUUCAUACAGAGCACGAGCAACGCAGACAACAUACCACAAUGAACCGACAUCAGACACAGACCAGACAGAGCUUAUAUACACAGGGAGAAGUGAUUAGGGAAAAUGGCAGCAGGUGUGUGAAGUGAGAGCUGGAGGGAAGACAGGUGAACCUAAUAAUCAAAAUGGGCAAACAGAAACAGAGGAGGGCCAAAUAAACCUAAGAAACUCUAAGACACCAAAACUAAACCUAAGGGCUGCGGGAAGGACUAACACACACACACAGAACUACACACAAAUACUGAGCAGGAGGCUGAAUCUCACACACACGUUGAGCUGGGGACAAAGAAGCUGGGGACUAAAAGGACACAGAAUGUAAAUGAGACCUGGAUGACCUGGGGAUGAACGAGACGACACAAGACCUGGGAGGAAUAGACGUAAAGGACUACAAACAUAAGACACUAAACUGACACGCAGAAAAAGGACACAUGAGGGCGCCAAAGAGCUACAGCAUAAGACACAUAACAGGGAUGCAGACAAGGACACAUGAGGGCGCUAAGAGAGCACAAGGGGAGAUCCUGGAGUGGAGCACAAGAGGAGCUGGGGAACAAAAGGACACAAGAGGGAAUCUAGAGAGGGAUGGAGGACACCAGGAGGCACAAAAAGGGAAGGGGCUGACGCAGACCAUGACAACACUUGUCCAAAUAGGAGGCUGAUCGCACUUGUUUAACAGGCAAAGCUCAAGCACAGUGUCUCAAACAGUCUCCUCUUGUUAUAGGACUCAACUGGCUGCAGAAACACGGUGACUCCCAAGCGGAGUAAACAUUAUUCCUUCAAAUCCAUCCACAUGUCUUGAAAGGAGUCAUGUCUCUCCAAGUCCAAACCAGCCUCCUCCAUAUCCUCUCGUGUGUGUGUGUGUGUGUGUGUUUGACAUUGUAGCGAUCCAAAGCCGUGGAAAUAACUUCUGACUGGGACAGUACACAGGAGCAGCUCCCUGCUGACCAGAACCUCUAUUGGACACGUCUUUGUCACCUGGCACAAGAGUUUGUUCAGCUGCUCAUGCAGCAUCUGUGCUCCUGGCUGCAGUCGUGUACAUCACAAAGUGAGAAAUUGAAUGUGACACCUUAGUGAGAAGUCAGGGUCUGUUUUAUUGUACUCAAAAUAAUGGUGUGCUACUUAUAAUCCAUAAAUGGAGUCCAAAGAAUGUAUAAUUUUUAAAUGGCAGCUGUAAUAAAGUGGUUGUACAUUCAAAAUCUCACAUUGUUCUGUUUACAUUUGUGUGAAAACAAGGUCCAAUCAGGCUGAAACAUAACAGGAAGGGAGAAUCUAUGGAGUUGUAAAUGAUCUGCACGUUUCAUGAUGAUAGCACAUUCCUAAGGGGGUCAGAUGAUGUCACAAAGGUCACCAGGCCUGGUGUGACUUGAAGGACGGUUUCGAAAAACAGCUUUGGAGGCUCAUAACUUGGCUUCUGAAUGUCCUAGAGAGGUCAGGUUUGUUUUAAAAUACUCUGCUUACCAGCCCCUAUCACCAGCAGAAGGAAUGGAGUCAUUAGCACUUAUGAUUUUUAAAUGGCCCCCAGAAUUAUGUCGCACGAAGCCCAAUUUCACAUAAUUUUGGUUCCAUUUGUGUGAAAACAAGCUCCAAUCUGUCUGAAAUUAACACAUGAUGGACCUGUGAGGUCAAGGAGCACACAGUAUCAGUGUCAAGUCUGGAGGUUGAAGAGAACCCUGUUUUCAGCUGAAAUCCAUCAUUUUUUCUGACCUCUGACCCAGAACAGCACCAGAACAACGAGCUACGGCUACCAAACUGCCUGAGCUAGCUCUGGGUGACGGCGGCAUGCCAAAUCGACAUUUGUUUGGUGAAAAUCGGUUGAGAAAUGCCACUUUGCCGAGCACAUGACAGAAAAGUUGGGAAAAGUGCCGUACGGCCCCAAACGGACGCUUAACACGAUGCGACCGGCACGAACUCGACGUAUGUGGUUCGGGCCAGUGCUGGGAUGCACCAGAAGAGUUUUCGGGCGCCUCGAAUCAACGAUGGCCGAACAGCGGCCAAAAAGGGUCUAAAAAUCGUGGUUUCGGGCCUAGGGUUUUGCCCGUUGCUUUUAAUUAAUUAAAAAUAGUUAAAUUCCACGUAGGGACAUGAAAUUCACAUAUGUUGUAAAGAAGGACAUGCCGAAUCAUAAUAUUUUAGCUGUGUGGCUGCCGUCAGCCACAGUCAUGCAGUUUUGAGAUAAUUUAUGGUUCAAGUUACGAUAAAUAAGCUAAGAAUAUUUUAUUUUUAAUAAUGUAUACGUUAUGGGGUUUAAAAGCACACAUUUAAAUGGUUUACAGAAUAUUUCCAGGGUGGAACCAAUGUUUAGUUUGUUGUUUCGGGGUUGACAAUAUUUUCAGUUGCACGCCACACUUGAUAGGCGGCAGCAUGCUAACCGCUAUCAUUCGUUGGUAGAGCUAUGCAGACGCAUGCAACGACGUUUUCCAGCUGUGGAAAGGAGUGACACUGCAAGAUGUGUUUUUUAUUAACCCCUGCAAGUUAAUGCGGCCAAUGAGGUAUGCAAUGUGUGUGUUUAUGUCGUGAUGGGAAAAUAAGAUGUUUGUUUGUGACAGAACUGUCGAGUCUAUGGUGGUCACGGGUAAUUUGUAAAUGUAAAUUGUGAGUGUUUUAUCUUGUGUAUUAGUGUUUCAUUGUUUAUUCUCUAUGAGAACGAAUUGAUUAUUCUAUGUCAUUUGUACAGUUCUCAUGGCACCGUUGGUGGCACCUGUGUGCAAUAAAUGCCAGUCAAAAUUCAAGAACGCCUUGUGUCCGUUUUCAACUUGGAGGGAGUUACAGCUGCGUCACGCUACGUCGCUCACUGACCAAGUUCGGCCACUAGGGGGCGCAGUCAAAAAAUAUUUUUCACUCUCUGGUUCGGAAGUCCGGUACGAGCGCAAAAAUCUACUCGCCUUUUUGAUAGCCCUCACGGCGCUAGAAUUGCGCCAUUGCAAACUUGCAAAAAUCAUGCGCUUUGGGGGGCUAUAUCUCCGGAACCACAAAAUAUUUUGCCACCAAACCACCUCGGAUGGACUCAUGCUUGGCCCCCGAACCACAUAUCCGAAGAUGGCGCCGCUGGCGCCAGCAGAACUUUUUCUUUCCACCUUCUACCAGGAAAACACAAGUCCUCUUUGAGGCGAUGGGUCUAAGAGGGCAUUUUUGGCCAAACUCAGA